GGCCAUAGUUCAGUGGCAGAUCAUCUGCCUUGCAUGCAGAAGGUCCCUGGUUCAAUCCCCAACAUUUCCAGGCAUGACUA
rnacentral:tRNA from 1 species